UACAGAGGGUGCGAGCGUUAAUCGGAAUUACUGGGCGUAAAGCGUGCGUAUACGGUUAUUUAAGUCGGAUGUGAAAGCCCCGGGCUCAACCUGGGAAUUGCAUUCGAGACUGAAUAGCUAGGGUGCGGUAGAGGGAAGCGGAAUUUCCGGUGUAGCGGUGAAAUGCGUAGAUAUCGGAAGGAACAUCAGUGGCGAAAGCGGCUUCCUGGACCAGCACCGACGUUCAGGCACGAAAGCGUGGGGAGCAAACAGG
rnacentral:rRNA from 1 species